rnacentral:rRNA from 1 species
AAAGUGGAGCAAUCCAUGAGUAAAGUGGCGACCGGGUGAGUAACACGUGACUAACCUACCUCCGAGUGGGGAAUAACUCCGGGAAACCGGGGCUAAUACCGCAUAACAUCGCAAGAUCAAAGCAGCAAUGCGCUUGGAGAGGGGGUCGCGGCUGAUUAGCUAGUUGGCGGGGUAACGGCCCACCAAGGCGAAGAUCGGUAUCCGGCCUGAGAGGGCGCACGGACACACUGGAACUGAAACACGGUCCAGACUCCUACGGGAGGCAGCAGUGGGGAAUUUUGCGCAAUGGGGGAAACCCUGACGCAGCAACGCCGCGUGGAGGAUGAAGCCCCUUGGGGCGUAAACUCCUUUCGACCAAGACGAUAAUGACGGUACUGGUGGAAGAAGCACCGGCUAACUCUGUGCCAGCAGCCGCGGUAAUACAGAGGGUGCGAGCGUUGUUCGGAAUUAUUGGGCGUAAAGGGCGCGUAGGCGGUGCCACAAGUCACUUGUGAAAUCUCCGGGCUUAACUCGGAGCCUGCAGGCGAAACUGUGGUGCUGGAGUAUGGGAGAGGUGCGUGGAAUUCCCGGUGUAGCGGUGAAAUGCGUAGAUAUCGGGAGGAACACCUGUGGCGAAAGCGGCGCACUGGACCAUAACUGACGCUGAGGCGCGAAAGCUAGGGGAGCAAACAGGAUUAGAUACCCUGGUAGUCCUAGCCCUAAACGAUGAUUGCUUGGUGUAGCAGGUACCCAAUCCUGCUGUGCCGCAGCUAACGCGAUAAGCAAUCCGCCUGGGGAGUACGGUC